GUGGCAGCUGAUGCUUGCAAGUUAAUGGGAUAUCGGAAAUAUUUCGAACAAACGGUACAAGAUGAGAUUUGGUACCAAAACAUAUGAUAACAGAUGAAACACAUAUUGCUACAGUGAAAGAUUACAUUCAUGAAGGAAAUGUUUUCAGAUAUUUUAUUACAGGUUUGGUUACGAACAUUCUCUCUUUAGCAAUGAAGAGUUGUAUCUAAAAUGUAUGUAUACAAGUGACCUUCGGUUAAAGAAUGGGCCUCUUUCACCACUGAAUUGUACUUUGUGCCGUCAGUUAAAUCUGUAGAAAAUAAGCAGUCAGGGUGUAGCAAACAUUUGUGGAAAAAUGUUUCUCCAGUGUUUUAUGGCAGCUUUGUGAGUGUGGAGAGUGACAGGGUAGGUUGCAAAGCAAGCACAUUUCUUGAUGUGUUUUAUUCAUCAGUGGUGUGUGUGUUACAAAUACACAUUUUUGCGACCUGUUUAUAUGCAGUAACUACACAGCAAUUAUUGAUAAUGCGGAUAUAAAUAUUUGAAGAAUAGAUAAUUGUUUUAUAAAAUUUUCUAAUGCAGACAAUUUUAUUGGCUCCAAUUUUAUCUUGAGUUCAUUUUUUUUGUUUUGUGAAAGUUCAUCUUUUAAGUGAUUAAUAUGAUUGAUUAAAAAUGGGAAAAACUUUAUAAAGACCGAUGGAAAUGUAUUAGUUUUCAUGUAGGUGUAUUAUUCUUUUACAGUAAUCUGGAUGAGAUCCCCGCAUACUAUGGUGGCCCAAAUAACUGCUGAAAAAGGUUGUCUCUGCAAAAUUUCUGUAGGACAGUGAUAAUAUAUGACAUAAUGGAUUGUGCACGUUCCAAAACACUGUAAGACAAACUUAAAAAGGAGCUGAAGUUUCUGCUGCUGAGGCCGCAGAAUAAAGACCUUUGGAAUGAUCAACUCCUGGCUGCUUCUAAUGUUAGGACAGGAGGAGUUACAUGAAGUCCAUGGGACUUACCAACUCAUACACAAAAACAGCUCCUGGAGAAUGCAAGGUACCAAAACUGAACGUUACGAAUAGGAAUGACUUUGCUGAACAUCAAGAAAAGGCAAUUUCACAAACCGAAAAGCCUGAGGAUCAGUCUACUGUUGCAGCAGAACAGGAAUACGAAGCAGCUAAAUUGUAUGCCUGGUCACAGGCAUUAUCUCUUGAGGACACUCAAUGCUUUGCGUCCUCAGCUGAUCCUCAGCACAAGUCUUCAGCAGUUAAAGCACUAGAAAAUUGCUAG
rnacentral:lncRNA from 1 species